rnacentral:rRNA from 1 species
GAUGAACGCUGGCGGCGUGCCUAAUACAUGCAAGUCGAGCGAACGGACGAGAAGCUUGCUUCUCUGAUGUUAGCGGCGGACGGGUGAGUAACACGUGGAUAACCUACCUAUAAGACUGGGAUAACUUCGGGAAACCGGAGCUAAUACCGGAUAAUAUUUUGAACCGCAUGGUUCAAAAGUGAAAGACGGUCUUGCUGUCACUUAUAGAUGGAUCCGCGCCGCAUUAGCUAGUUGGUAAGGUAACGGCUUACCAAGGCAACGAUGCAUAGCCGACCUGAGAGGGUGAUCGGCCACACUGGAGCUGAGACACGGUCCAGACUCCUACGGGAGGCAGCAGUAGGGAAUCUUCCGCAAUGGGCGAAAGCCUGACGGAGCAACGCCGCGUGAGUGAUGAAGGUCUUAGGAUCGUAAAACUCUGUUAUUAGGGAAGAACAUAUGUGUAAGUAACUGUGCACAUCUUGACGGUACCUAAUCAGAAAGCCACGGCUAACUACGUG